UGGGGAAUAUUGCACAAUGGGCGCAAGCCUGAUGCAGCCAUGCCGCGUGUGUGAAGAAGGCCUUCGGGUUGUAAAGCACUUUCAGCGGGGAGGAAGGCGAUAAGGUUAAUAACCUUGUCGAUUGACGUUACCCGCAGAAGAAGCACCGGCUAACUCCGUGCCAGCAGCCGCGGUAAUACGGAGGGUGCAAGCGUUAAUCGGAAUUACUGGGCGUAAAGCGCACGCAGGCGGUCUGUCAAGUCGGAUGUGAAAUCCCCGGGCUCAACCUGGGAACUGCAUUCGAAACUGGCAGGCGAGAGUCUUGUAGAGGGGGGUAGAAUUCCAGGUGUAGCGGUGAAAUGCGUAGAGAUCUGGAGGAAUACCGGUGGCGAAGGCGGCCUCCUGGACAAAGACUGACGCUCAGGUGCGAAAGCGUGGGGAGCAAACAGG
rnacentral:rRNA from 1 species